rnacentral:rRNA from 1 species
GGAUGAACUAAGCCAUGCGAGUCAUUGUAGCAAUACAAGGCAGACGGCUCAGUAACGCGUAGUCAAUCUACCCUAUGGACGGGAAUAACCUCGGGAAACUGAGAAUAAUGCCCGAUAGAACAUUAUACCUGGAACGGUUUAUGUUUCAAAUGAUUUAUCGCCGUAGGAUGGGACUGCGGCCUAUCAGUUUGUUGGUGAGGUAAUGGCCCACCAAGACUAUUACAGGUACGGGCUCUGAGAGGAGUAGCCCGGAGAUGGGUACUGAGACACGGACCCAGGCCCUAUGGGGCGCAGCAGGCGAGAAAACUUUGCAAUGUGCGAAAGCACGACAAGGUUAAUCCGAGUGGUUUCUGCUAAAGAAACCUUUUGCUAGUCCUAGAAACACUAGUGAAUAAGGGGUGGGCAAGUUCUGGUGUCAGCCGCCGCGGUAAAACCAGCACCUCAAGUGGUCAGGAUGAUUAUUGGGCCUAAAGCAUCCGUAGCCCGUUUUGUAAGUUUUCGGUUAAAUCCAUACGCUCAACGUAUGGGCUGCCGGGAAUACUGCAUAACUAGGAAGUGGGAGAGGUAGACGGUACUCGGUAGGAAGGGGUAAAAUCCUUUGAUCUAUUGAUGACCACCUGUGGCGAAGGCGGUCUACCAGAACACGUUCGACGGUGAGGGAUGAAAGCUGGGGGAGCAAACCGGAUUAGAUACCCGGGUAGUCCCAGCUGUAAACUAUGCAAACUCAGUGAUGCAUUGGCUUGUGGCCAAUGCAGUGCUGCAGGGAAGCCGUUAAGUUUGCCGCCUGGGAAGUACGUACGCAAGUAUGAAACUUAAAGGAAUUGGCGGGGGAGCACCACAAGGGGUGAAGCCUGCGGUUCAAUUGGAGU